UUGCUCAGCACUUCCGAUAUACCAUGCACUACGCUCGGUGCAGCACAAGUUGUAAAAGUCUCCUACUUUUACAACUCUUUGAGCCAGGCAGUAUUGUUAUUUCCAUUUUCUAGAUGUGAACACUGAGGCUCAAUGAGGUCAAUAGUCCAGAUACAGAUGGCUAGAAAGUCAGUGAAGGAGCUGACUAGAUUUCUGUCUGUUUUCCCCUUCCUCCCUCCACCCCGGUAUCCUGCUCAUAAACCCAAUGGUGGGUGAGUGAAUAAUGUCAAGACGCAGGUGAAAGUGACUUGGUUAUGUCUCUCUUUGCACAGAGAGCACACUGCCUUCUGUGUCAGGUGUGAGCCCCUGCACUCUCCCUGGGGUCUGAAGGCUGAGGCGUGUGGCCAGAAGCUUCUACACAGGCCUAUCCCAGAGUGUGGGGACCAUGUUGGUCUCACGUGCAUGAGAGCACACGCAUGUGACUUCUACCUUCAAGCACCUCCCAGAGAGUAAGUGAGAGAGAUGACCAGGUGCAUAACAAGCAUUUGGUCAGAGCAGGAUGAUGGGGUGGGAAGAAGGGCUCAAGUCCCACCUACACAUCAACUGUGUGCCCCUGGGAAGGGCCUUCACUUCAGGAACCUCAGUUUGCAAGUCUGCAAAGUGGAGCUAAUGAUCCUUGUCCUCACUUCCUCCUGGGCUUGUUGUUAAGGCUCCUUGCAUUUUGGAAUCUUUAAAGUGCUUGGAAAAGGUAGGGAAUCCAUCUAAUUAAGGAGGAGGAGAAACAAAAGCCACCAGAGGAAUCAGGUUUCUGGUAUCCAAUUUAAUCCAAUCCAUAGGAAAACAGCCCAAGGGUGCCCCAUCGUUUGCCACCCCUAAUGAGGAAACAAUCCAGUCCUCUGAUAGGUGGAGUCGUUCAUCUCUGCAGUAAAAAGCUAAUGCUUAGUCUAGCUUUAUUCAUCCUUUUUGGCACAUAGGGUAUAUACGGUAUGGCUCCAUGGAGCCAACCAGGAGCCUCUGCCUGGUGGAAUGAUCUGUGUGCCAGGCUGGAAGAGACAGACACUCUGUUUGACCAACAAAUGUAUAGAAAAUAGUGGCCAGUAAGUAGCAAUUACGUAAUAAUCUUAUCCAAAGAAAAUGUGGGCUCAAAUUAAGAUGAUUUCACCGGGAAAACAUUAAGGUAUACAAAGAGUUCUUAAUAAAUAGAAAUAAAUAGUGCAGGGUUUGCGCCAUGGUGAUUUUCGAUGGUUAUCUGCCCUCGCCGCUGCUGCUCCAGCUGCAUCUUCCGCGGGGCUCAGCGCAGCAUUUUGCUCUACAAAAACAACUAGCUCCUUUCCAGCCAAUGAUUACUUGUAAUUAUGCUUUCCCCUGCUAUUAUUCUAAUAGACCUGUCAUGUUGCUCGGAGGACUCUGGCAUUUGGAAUAUACGACGGCUUUUAUGGAUGGACUGCUGGAACACUUAAUAUAGCUCUAUUUUUGAAUUAUCAAGUUCUAUCCUUUUGAAGUCUGUGUUAGUGGAACUCCUAUUUAUGAGAUGUGCUGUGCUUAAAGGUUUGCUAUUGAUGAAGAGGUCCAACAGAGCCUUUAUCGUAAGUACGGCAGCAUUCUCCCUGAGAGAUAAAUAGCCGUGCUAAAAGGUAUGCUGUGUACCUAGGCUGCAAAUUACUAGCCAAGUACCUCAUAACAGUAUACUUCAAAAAUACCUUUAUGCUUCUUGUUUGUUCUCUUUUCCAUAGAGAUGAAUGACAUUUCUUAAAACACAGAGGGGUGGAAGUGUGUUGGUCAUUGCUGGUCAUCGACAUUAAUUGGGUUUGAGGAACAUGUUUGUUCUGGCACAGGGUGUCUGAGUAGAUGCACGAAUGUGGCUUACAUCUCCUGUGCUUGCUGUUGUGAGAAUUUGCUUUUCUUUAUGUUCCCUUAACCUAAAGGUGGACUAAGUUGGAUUCAAGCACUUUUUGCAUGGGAAAGAGGGUUUAUGAAAAAGCAUAAUUCAGGCAGUGGUACCUGUUCUGGAGAAUUCCAAGAGCACCACUGGGGGCAGAGCAAGGGCCCGCAGCUUAAGGCUGGUGUGGGCAAAGAGUGGGUGCGAUGUUCUCCAUCCAGCAGGCAGAGGUCUUAGAAAGGGGAGGCCUGAUACAGAAGCUGGCAUGAAGAGUGGUCCCCAAAGCUCUUAUUAUCUGAGCAAUUUGAUAGACACUAAGUCAGGUCAGAGUUUUCUUUAGCAGCUCAACCAGCUUGUUUUUUUGUGGGCCCAAAGGUGGAGGCCCUGUUGGACGGUACAGGCACUGUUUUUGGCCCUGGGCAGCAAUCAUAUGGAAAGACACAUUGUGUGGUUGGAUUGUGAGUAGGAAUUUGGGGAAAUGUGUGUCUCCCUUAUGUUAUACAGAAAUGUAUUCAAGAGACUCCAAGCUGCCAGCAAGCAUCCCAGAAGCAGACAUAACUCCCUUGGCAGCCAACAUUGCAAACAGAGGCAGGACUAUGGAGCAGCUUUUGACUAGGUGGCAAGAAUUUAUAUCCAUUCCCCAAAGAAGGAUAUAGAUGUAAGGCUGGAGGUGGAGCAGCUGCUCGGCGAUCUGUGGUGACAAGAGUGGUGAUGAGAGGCACAUGCUGAGGAUGGCUGAGCAGGAGGACAGAGGAGCCAGGGACAGUGCCGCCUUCUUAGAGCUCCUGCCCAGGCCCUGAGCAGCCCACCUCACUCCUGGUACAUGGAUCCCAUCUCUAGGGCUCUGCCCCAGCUCAGCUUUGCUGCUGGCUCUGUACUGACCAGAUAGUUGAUUCUAGUAACUAAAUUUUUACUUUAUUUUCCAGGGACUCCGGUUCCUGAUCUUGUCUUCUCUUUGCCUCAGGUGUC
rnacentral:lncRNA from 1 species